rnacentral:rRNA from 1 species
UACGUAGGGUGCGAGCGUUGUCCGGAAUUAUUGGGCGUAAAGAGCUCGUAGGUGGUUUGUCGCGUUGUUCGUGAAAACUCACAGCUCAACUGUGGGCGUGCGGGCGAUACGGGCAGACUAGAGUACUGCAGGGGAGACUGGAAUUCCUGGUGUAGCGGUGGAAUGCGCAGAUAUCAGGAGGAACACCGGUGGCGAAGGCGGGUCUCUGGGCAGUAACUGACGCUGAGAAGCGAAAGCAUGGGGAGCGAACAGG